GGAACGGCUGAGUUCGUCAGACACCACCAGGACCUUUAAUCUUCCAGUCCAAUGAUUCCUCGCUGCUGCUUGUGUUGUGAUGCGUUCAGGGCAAUCACGUGCUGACGGCCACCGUGAGGAGACCAGCGUGUGGAGUUGUGUAACAGGCAGACGAGGCUGGAAACCUGCAGAUGAGCAGCAGGUCUGAGUGGAUCUGGACCGAAAGCCUCCAAACACUGACUGCACACGCACACAGACUGGUGGGAAGCUGGAGCUCACGGAGUCACAUCCAUCACCUGCUGUCACGUGUCACUGAGUGUCUGCCGCUUUCAGGCUAGAAGAGGUAACAGUGCAUACGUCACUU